AUCUCCUCUUUUUUCCUGCAAAGUGUCCAAUGCUGUCUGAGGCUUGAAUCCAGCCUGAGAAACCACAUCUGAAAAACCCUGCCUAUGUCUGCAGUAUCAGCUUGGAUUCCUCAGGUUAUUCAGGGAUGGAUUAUCUUCAGCAGUGUUAAAUAUAUUACCAUCAAUUUAGGAGAUGGCUUCUUUGCAAAGGAAAGGGCUGCAGGCAAGGAUUCUCAGCUCUGAAGAAGAGGAGAAACUGAAAAGAGAUCAAGCUUUGGUGUCUGAUUUUAAGCAGCAAAAACUGGAAAAAGAGGCUCAGAAGAACUGGGACCUUUUUUACAAAAGGAAUAGUACUAACUUCUUCAAAGAUAGACACUGGACCACCAGAGAGUUUGAAGAGCUCAGAUCAUGUAGAGAGUUUGAAGAUCAAAAAUUGACUAUACUUGAAGCUGGCUGCGGUGUUGGGAACUGUUUAUUCCCACUUUUAGAAGAUCUGAAUAUCUUUGCCUAUGCCUGUGAUUUUUCUCCAAGAGCAGUUGAAUAUGUCAAGGAAAAUCCUUUAUAUGACACAGAAAGAUGCAAGGUGUUCCAGUGUGAUCUAACCAAAGAUGACCUUCUAGAACAUGUGCCCCCAGAGUCUGUGGAUGUUGUCAUGUUGGUAUUUGUACUCUCUGCUGUUCACCCUGAUAAGAUGCACCUUGUCUUACAAAAUAUUUACCAGACGAGAAAACACAGGGAUGAAAUUACUUGUUCAAGGUCAUUCAACUAGUUAUGGAAGAACUGGGAUAUGAAUCAAGAUUUCCAAAUUCCUGAGUAUUAAAACCAGGCAAAAGCGUCUUGUUUCGUGACUAUGGGCUGUAUGAUCAUGCCAUGCUUAGGUUUAAAGCUGGCAGCAAACUUGGAGAAAACUUUUACGCUAGACAAGAUGGAACCAGAUCAUAUUUUUUUACUGAUGAAUUCCUGGCUCGGCUCUUUACGGACACAGGUUAUGAAGAAGUGGUGAAUGAGUAUGUGUUUCGUGAGACGGUGAACAAAAAAGAAGGCCUGUGUGUGCCAAGAGUUUUCCUUCAGAGCAAAUUCCGAAAGUGUCCUAAGAACCCAACUCUGGGUCACAAGUCCUGACCUUUCACGAGGUUGACAUUUGUGCCUCCCCUUGAAGAGGAAAGUUUAAAGUCACUCUUUAUUUUGGAUAUUUUUAUAUUUUUUUAUAAUGAGGACAUAUAAUUUUUAUAUUAAAAAGUAGCAAGUGUCUGUGUGUGUCUUAUGGAAAUGCAAAUAAAAUUGCAAGGGCUGAAAAGUGAAGUUUUACAGUAUAAUGUAAUGUAGCCAUGCUGUCUGACUAAAAUUCCACCAAGGGGAAAGCAUAAGCACUAAAAGAGAUCCUUGCCAUCGGUAAAUGUGCCGUGAUUCAGUAAAUGUGCCUCCAGGCAGCAUGUCAGGCAAUCCUGUGGAAAAAUGAGGCCAAAUAGACUAAAAUAACACAUCCGGAUGUAUUUUUAGCCUGAAGGAUUGUUCUCUUUCUAGUGUCUCUCAUUUGCCCAUUUCUCUCUGCUUCCGUUCAUUUAUGUGCCUCUUCAGGACCAGUGUCACACAUACAGCUUUUGCUAGGACUCAAGAACCCACCAUGGCGCCCUGCCUAAUUCCUGAGACCCUCUCUAAUUGAGCCAGGACCUGGCCACACUGCCCCCGGGGAGAGAGGGGAACGCCAUCACCUGUCCUCCCCAUCUACCCGAUGCAGUUUCUCCAGGAAUACAGUGGAUGGACUGUCCCUGUAAAGGACAGUCCGACCCCAUAAAGGAAGGACCGCAGAGUUUUCACUUGGAAUAUUUAAGGUUGGCGUAAUGACAUACUACCCACCUUGGACAUUGACAUUGAGCAAGGUAACCUCUCAGUGACCCACUUUAAAAUAUGUUGGUUGUAAGGUCUACUUAAAUGAUGUGACGUAGUCCUUCAGAGUUUUAGCCUUGAGCCAAUGGAUUGGAUUAAGAAACCAUAAAAAUAAGGCUAAGCAUAAUAAAAACAAGGCUUCAGUCCCACUGCCUCUGGGUCCCCCUGUUGAUUCUCCCCAGGCAAACCUCUUAUUGCACCCCAGGUUAAGACAGAGCAGCAGGGAUUUCCACGGGUUGGGUGCCCAGGGACCCAGGGAAGCAAAGCCACAGUUUUAGUAGCAAAACUUGAACAUGUGUUAAAUCAUAGACUACGAACAGUCCACCAAUAUUGCCUUGUCUUCACAGAAAGCAGCUCCAGAAAGGCAGUGAGUACUAGUUAACAGUAUUAUAGAGAAUAGUAUAAGUACCAUAAUAUUAUAUAGUAUGGUAUAUAUACUAUGUCUAGCAUACAUACUAUACAAUAUGUAUCCUAUACCAUAUAGUACAAGGUAUUUCUUUUGAGUUUUUGGUAUGUACUACAUACAGAAAUGCUAAUAAAGUUGUAUCACGUGAUUUGGAGUUUGGAAAUCUGGGUUCAAGUGCAGGACUAUACCCCCGACAAGUCACCAGCUUUCCGGAGCCUCAGCUUUCCCAUCUCUAAGGCUGAGCCCCUGUGACCUACAGGGUUGCUGCCCGUGCUAAAUGAGAUCAUAGAAUUGGGAGUGCUUUGUUUACUAAAAAGUGCCAGCCAAGUGCUAGUUAUUUCUAUUAGUUUGUAUUCCCCAUGAAAAUGGUCUCUCCCAUUAUUAAAUCCUAAUUCUUCUUCCGGAAGGCUUUUAAUCUUGGGGUCCUCCAAAGGGCCUGGGAUUUGGAUGUGCUGCCGCAAGGUGGCGCUAGAUACUCAAUAAUCCCAUUGGCCUUUGUUCUCAUUUUAAUCGUGGUUCUAGCAUGUCCGUUUUUAUUGUUGUUGAAAAGGAAGGAAAAUGCUUACAAAUGUGUUUUCUAGGUCAGCUUUAUCUCGUAAGAUCAAUUUUGGCCUCGCUGUGGAAAUAAGAAGUAAGGAUUCUUUUAUCCAGCAUUCAGUCUACUUUACCUACUGAAGGUCUCUCCAGAAAAUACUCUUCCAGCCCCUGCCAGGUGGAUACCAUCCUAGCUACCCGUGAUCUGGGAGCCCAGCCAGUGGGGAGAAUCUCAACAUUUGGUAUGUAAGCUUUCACUUAGUUUACUGGGGAAGUUUUAGUGGAGUGCCAUUUACAAUAUAGUACUCCAUCCUCAAUUUUGCCCCGUGUCUCCUUAUCCAGAGACAUUUUGUGUUUAGCCUCUAGUCUUGUUCUGGGGUGGGGAUCAUACACUUGUCUGGCAUGUGGACAUGGGGACGGGGCUUGGGGGGUGUAUCUGCUCCUUAAGACCUCUCAGCCAGUCCUUUGAUUUUCAAACCUGUCUAUACCGACACUUCUAGAAAUAGCUGGUACUGCCAAAUCCUGAGGCAUAAAACCUUUGGGAGUUCUCAAUGCAAACUGAGUUGCUUCUUGUCUUUCAUCAGUACUGGCUUAAGAUUCAGCUUCUCAAGUCUUCUAGGUGGGCUGCUAUUCAUCCUUCUGCUUUCAAGUCCCCCACAGUUUGUCAUGUCUUUAUUGACUUUAUCCUGUAAAAAAAAUCCUUUUGCUGUUAUUUUAGUGGGCUUUCCAGAAGGAGCUGAAAUAAGGGCAUGCACUUAAUCUGCCAUCUUUAACCAGUGGGGUUGGGAAGGAAAAGGCAGCCCAUAGAUGGAGGGACCAUUUGAGGAGGAAAGAGAUUGGGAUGAUUGCCAAGUGCAAAGGGGCUGAAGGAUCUGGAAGAACGGAGGCAACUCAGGGAUGCUGAACUUGUUGGCAUGUGCUUAGAACUAAAGAAACGUUAGUUCCAGGCAUUCCCUUGGGCAGAGCCCAGGAUGUUGCUGAAUGAGAGUCAGGUCGCUAUGCAGAGAGCUGCUUCAACCUGUGCAGUACAGAUCAAGGACCUUAGCAAUGGCCAGACUUUUUUCCCAUUAACUUAAUUUGUAGGAUUGCUUCCUAGGAGAGAAGCUAACAUAUCUAUAAGGAUGUCUUUAGAAAGAUGUUUAUUAGCAGCAUUAUUUGUGAUACUAAAUAUUAGGAACAGUCUAAACCAGGGCUCAGCCACUAUGGCCGAUGGAUGAAAUUGAGCCCUCCUGUUUCGGUAAGGAAAGUUGCCCUGGCACAGCCACACCCAUGUACACGUUGUUCAUAUUUCCUUUCAUGCUGUAACAGCAGAGACUAUGGCCAGCAAAGCCUAGACUAUUUACUAACUGGUCCUUUAAGACAAAGUUUGCUGACCGCUGCUCUAAAUGACUAGUAAGAGAAUGGAUAAGCCAACUAAGGUACAUCAUACGACAAAAUAGGAUAUAAUCCAUGAACAUUAUAUCUAGGAAAAAGUUUUGUUUUUUUUUUUAAACUGGUAAAAAAUACGCAUAACAUAAAA